rnacentral:lncRNA from 1 species
GGAGCCGGCUCCGGCCUCAGCUGGCCCAGAGAGGGGCUCCCUCAGUGCAGUGGCGAGCUGAAGGGCUCCUCAAGGGCGGCUGGAGUGGACGCUGAGGCCGAGGAGACGCCAAGAGCAAACGAGGGCUGCUAGUACAUUGUCACCUCUCACUGGUAACUACAGUUGCUGUCAGUUUAACUGAUGCAAGAGAAGAUAAGGAAGACAAGAUCUCAACCACUUUCAGCAAAGCUUUGCGGAGAAUGCAACAUCCUUCAAGACACCAUGAAGCUCCACGCAUCUGGUCAUCUUGUUUCUUCAGGGAAUAAAUUUAUUGUUCUCUGCUUCAGGGCAGGCACACUUGGCCAGUAAAGAAAAUCCCCCCAGCAGAGAAUUGCAGAUACUCACAGCAAGAAGCCUUUCUUGUGAAUGGAGGAUGGAUGUGGAGCUGGUCCGAGCAGUCUGCCUACUGCAUCUGCUAUGACACCCAGCAAACUGGAAGGGAAAAGCAGUUACAAAGUUUCCAACCAGCACAAAUUCCAUAGUCAGGUUUUCCACAUGUGGGGAAAUGACAGGGGUCAGCACAUCCAACGUGCAAUGGACAAGCCUUGCACUGGGUAAACCACGUUCAUGGUCAUGGAAUCUCAUUUACCAGGCUCCACUGAAAUGAAUGAAACCUGAAAUGGUAGAGAAAACUGCAUAGAAGAGUUCUCAGGCAAUGCAGUCUCAGACUGGAACUACACUAUUGGCUCUCCUGGAUCGCCAGCUUGCCAACUCACCCUGCAGAUCCUGGGAUUUGUCAGCCUCCAUAAUCGUGUGAGCCAACUUCUCAUAAUAAAUGUCUUUCUAUACAUAGGCAACCUAUUAGUUCUGUUUCUCUGGGAGAAUCCUGACUAAUACUCUUUCCCUAACUAAAAUGCUGCAUACAGUUGGG